CCCUUAGAUGCUCUGGGCCGCACGCGCGCUACACUGGUCGAUGCAACGAGUUUCUUUCCUUGGCCGACAGGCCUGGGCAAUCUUUGAACAUCGAUCGUGAUCGGGAUAGCUUCUUGUAAUUUUUGAUCUUAAACGAGGAAUUCCUAGUAAACGCAAGUCAUCAGCUUGCAUUGAUUACGUCCCUGCCCUUUGUACACACCGCCCGUCGCACCUACCGAUUGAAUGGUCCGGUGAAAUCUCCGGACUGGCGUGAGUCGGAGCAAUCUGACAAACACCGGAAAGUUGAUUAAACCUUACCAUUUAGAGGAAGGUGAAGUCGUAACA
rnacentral:rRNA from 1 species